CCCUUAGAUGUUCUGGGCUGCACGCGCGCUACACUGAUGCAUGCAACGAGUUUUCGACCUUGCCUGAAAAGGUUGGGUAAUCUGUUUAACAUGUGUCGUGAUGGGGAUAGACCAUUGCAAUUAUUGAUCUUCAACGAGGAAUUCCUAGUAAGCGCGAGUCAUCAGCUCGUGCUGAUUAUGUCCCUGCCCUUUGUACACACCGCCCGUCGCUACUACCGAUUGAAUGGUUUAGUGAGGACUCCUGAUUGGCGCCGCCGCCCCGGCAACGGAGCAGCGGACUGCCGAAAAGUUGUUCAAACUUGAUCAUUUAGAGGAAGUAAAAGUCGUAACA
rnacentral:rRNA from 1 species